GAAAGCAAAGCAAUGGGGUUCCAGCGCCCAGCCGGCUUGGCUUUUUUCCGUUUUCUUUUGUUAUGGGUUUUUGGAGAAGGGGUUUCUCUAGGUAGCCCUGGCUGUUCUGGAACUCAAUCUGUAGACCAGGUUAAACUCAAACUCAGAGAUCCACCUGUCUCUACAAGUGCUAGGAUUAAAGGCAAGAGUAACCACUACCAGACUCCAACAGUCUUUUCAUUUAUAAAAUUAGAACAUUGAGCAGAGAGGACCCUCAGGGUGGCCACUGAGGACCCUCUGAAGCAAGAUCAUCCUUGUCCACUCUAACAGUGAGUGCCAUUUUUCACUCCUAAUUUGUCACCCUGUUCAUACAUAGAAAAUGUCCAGUUUUUCCCCAUGUUGAAGUCUGGCCUUUUUUUUUCUUCUUUUUUUUUUUUUUUUUUUUUUUAAUCUAAUCUAUGGAAUUUAAGUGGAAAUGGCAGCUACCAGCUAUACCUGACACUCUGGACAGCUGCUCAUGUCACAAAUACUUGAUUGUCCAGUGAGGUCUAUCAGAUAGGGGGUAGGGGACAACAAAUACCUUAAGUUAGGCCCCAAAGGGACCCUGGAUCAAGGAGCCCUGGUUUCAUGCUGCCCUUUCUGUGUUCCCAAGUCAACCGUUCCUCCCUUCAACGAAUGAGUCUGAAGCAUGCUGUCUUUAUGCAGCAUGAGAUACAGACUAGUGCUGUGUGGGCUUCUGACGUCACUCUACCACUGUAAAGAUGAAAAGUGCUAUGAUGUCACUCAUCUCCCCAACUUGUCUCCAACUCUACCUUGUCCCCAACUCAUGUAUUAACUGCCUACCUACACAGGGGAGCCCCUGAGUGUCACAGCACCAGCUAUGCUGAGAACUUUAAGCUCCUAGCAGUGAUGUGACACGGAGCUGGCGUGGUGUGUGGUGUAGAAGUCUGUUUCCUGCAGGCCUUGUCAGGAGGACUGAUGUAGAAGCACAUGCAUGCAGUGCCUCUGCAGGCCAGAAGGAGUUGGAUUCCCUGGGACUGCAGCUGCCAUAUGGGUGCUAGGAAUCAAACCUACAUCAUCUGGAAGAGCAGCCUGUACUUUUAACCACUGAGCCAUCUCUCCAGCAUUCCCAUCUCCCCUUCCUUUAAGAGAGUCUCAUCUUAGUUCCCUUUUUUGAGAGAAGGUAUUUAUUAUAUGUCCCAAGCUAGACUCAAACUCAUUCUGUAUCUGAAAAUGACCUUGAGCUUAUAAUCUUCCCACCUCUACCUCCAGAGAGAUGAGAUGAGAA
rnacentral:lncRNA from 1 species